AUGCACGCUGGCGGCGUGCCUAAUACCUGCAAGUCGAGCGCACAGACGAGGAGCUUGCUCCUCUGACGUUAGCGGCGGACGGGUGAGUAACACGUGGAUAACCUACCUAUAAGACUGGGAUAACUUCGGGAAACCGGAGCUAAUACCGGAUAAUAUAUUGAACCGCAUGGUUCAAUAGUGAAAGACGGUUUUGCUGUCACUUAUAGAUGGAUCCGCGCCGCAUUAGCUAGUUGGUAAGGUAACGGCUUACCAAGGCAACGAUGCGUAGCCGACCUGAGAGGGUGAUCGGCCACACUGGAACUGAGACACGGUCCAGACUCCUACGGGAGGCAGCAGUAGGGAAUCUUCCGCAAUGGGCGAAAGCUUGACGGAGCAACGCCGCGUGAGUGAUGAAGGUCUUCGGAUCGUAAAACUCUGUUAUUAGGGAAGAACAAAUGUGUAAGUAACUAUGCACGUCUUGACGGUACCUAAUCAGAAAGCCACGGCUAACUACGUG
rnacentral:rRNA from 1 species